UUGCACCUGUUGUUUCGACAUCAAACACUUGAACAAAAAAUUAUCAACCUAAUCUUUGAGAGUCUUUUACGUAAAUGUUUACGAUUAUUGAAAAGUAUGAACGUAAUUGCGCAAUUUGUUUCGCUAAAAAUAACACCUUAGCCUGUAAAAAUAUUUUAUGAAAAUGCGAGGAAAAAAACUAACAAUUUCUGAAGAAUAUGAUUGAAGAGAUAAGAUUGAUAAGAUGUCAGUCGUCAAUCAAGGCACUUAUAGAUUUUCCUCUUAGAGUGACAGCACAAGCAAGAUGGAGAAUAAAAUACAAGCUAUGCGCAUAAAAAGAGAUUGCUUGGAUCCUUUUUCUUUUAUUGAAUAUUAACCUUUUGCCUACGACGCCUGACAGCACCUGCUAUUUUGGAUCAUCAGUUGUACCUGCCGUAAGCGAAAUAAGCAGUGUGUUGCUGAAAGUAAAGCUUUUUGUCAAACAUUUUCAAAAUGUGGUGCAGUUGUUGGAUUGCUUAAAUUACAUACAAAUUUCAAUAAAAAUUAUAUGGGUCAUUA